rnacentral:tRNA from 1 species
UUUCUGGUGGUUCAGUCGGUGAAGGAUCUGGCAUUGUCGAUGCUGUGGCUCGGGUUUGAUCCCUGGCCUGGAAA